CGCCUCUUGACACACAUAAGAGGUCCAGCCUGCCCAAUGAUAUAUUAAAUGGCCGCGGUACCCUAACCGUGCGAAGGUAGCAUAAUCACUUGUUCACUAAAUAUGGACUUGUAUCAACGGCAUCACGAGGGCCUCACUGUCUCCUAACUUUCAUCAAUUAAACUAAUCUCCCCGUGAAGAAGCGGGGAUCCCCUUAUAAGACGAGAAGACCCCAUGGAGCUUAAAACCUAAGCCAUCCACCCAAAUUUACACCCCCCCCCGCAGCAAUGGCCUCUAGUUUUCGGUUGGGGUGACCGCGGAGUAAAACAAAUCCUCCACGAUGCCCAUCUGCAAGAGCCCCAUCUCAAACAAUCCUAAAUUUGUCAUCUCUUGACCCAAAUUAUUGAUCAACGAACCCAGUUACCCUGGGGAUAACAGCGCAAUCCAUCUCGAGAGCUCCUAUCGACAUAUGGGUUUACGACCUCGAUGUUGGAUCAGGGCAUCCCAGUGGUGCAGCCACUACUAAAGGUUCGUUUGUUCAACGAUUAAAGCCCCU
rnacentral:rRNA from 1 species